GAUGAACGCUGGCGGCGUGCCUAAUACAGGCAAGUCGAGCGAACGGACGAGAAGCUUGCUUUUCUGAUGUUAGCGGCGGACGGGUGAGUAACACGUGGAUAACCUACCUAUAAGACUGGGAUAACUUCGGGAAACCGGAGCUAAUACCGGAUAAUAUUUUGAACCGCAUGGUUCAAAAGUGAAAGACGGUCUUGCUGUCACUUAUAGAUGGAUCCGCGCUGCAUUAGCUAGUUGGUAAGGUAACGGCUUACCAAGGCAACGAUGCAUAGCCGACCUGAGAGGGUGAUCGGCCACACUGGAACUGAGACACGGUCCAGACUCCUACGGGAGGCAGCAGUAGGGAAUCUUCCGCAAUGGGCGAAAGCCUGACGGAGCAACGCCGCGUGAGUGAUGAAGGUCUUCGGAUCGUAAAACUCUGUUAUUAGGGAAGAACAUAUGUGUAAGUAACUGUGCACAUCUUGACGGUACCUAAUCAGAAAGCCACGGCUAACUACGU
rnacentral:rRNA from 1 species